rnacentral:rRNA from 1 species
UACAGAGGGGGCAAGCGUUAUUCGGAAUUAUUGGGCGUAAAGGGCGCGUAGGCGGCUUGGCAAGUGGAAGGUGAAAUCCCUCGGCUUAACCGAGGAACUGCCCUCCAAACUGCUUUGCUUGAGGCCGGGAGAGGCGAGUGGAAUUCCGAGUGUAGAGGUGAAAUUCGUAGAUAUUCGGAGGAACACCAGUGGCGAAGGCGGCCCACUGGCUCGACACUGACGCUGAGGUGCGAAAGCGUGGGGAGCAAACAGG